ACCAGCGAGGCCUCGACGCAGCGCUUUCCUUUGCCGGCGCUUUGGAUCCGGCGGCGUCUUUUGGCGUCCCUGAAGUCGCCACUUUGGCCGCUCUGGCACGCCUGGCGUUGGGUGGGCGGCAUCUGUGCGCCCACAUGAACCAGUGGCAUUAUGGUCGAUAUGGUCGUGGUCGGGGCCGGGACUUCGCUGUCCGUGCCCCACCCAAGAAGAAGGGCAGAAACCUCAUCCCAGAAAGGUGGACAGACUAUCUCCCAGUUGGGCAGCGGAUGCCUGGGACUCGUUUCAUUGCUUUCAAAGUUCCGUUGCAAAAAAAAUUUGAAGCAAAGCUUAUGCCAGAAGAAUGCUUUUCUCCCUUGGAUCUUUUUAAUAAAAUUCAAGAACAAAAUGAAGAACUUGGAUUGAUAAUUGAUUUAACAUAUACUCAGCGCUAUUAUAAAGUAGAGGCUCUUGCUGUGUAGCCCAGGCUGACUUCAAACUCAAGAUUAUCCUGCCUCAGCCUCCCAGGGUCUAGGAUUACAGGUGUACGCCACCAUACCAGGCUAUACAAGGUGAAUGUUAUCAUUUAUAUCUUAUUUAAUGAAGUUUCUGCUUGUUUAUUUACACAAUGAUGUCUACAGGAUUCUUUCCUCUGUGUAACAGCUUUCAAAAUAAUAUCUUGGCUCCCUGAUACCUGCCAAUAGUGACUAGUCAGAUUUUAUUUAGUUAGUUAAAUUUUUUCUGUCAUUACAAAUGCCCCUGUAGUUGCCUUUUUGAAUUGGAGCACAGGUGGAGGGCCUUUCAAAAUAAGGGGCUUCUCCUUUGGCUCCUAAAACCUUUUAAAAACAAUAUUAUUAAGAACUUCAUACACUUUUCUGAUCACAGUCACCCCAAUACCAUAGCUAAUUCCUCCUGACUUACACUCCAAUGUCAUGUCCUCUUCUUUUUUUUAUGUGUUUUUUUAUAAUAUGUUCCCCACAUGCUUGAUGGAACCUGUGGAGGAUAGAAGAAGGAGUCGGAUUUUUUAGACCUAGAGUUACAGGUAGCUGUGAGCUGCCUGGCCUGGGUGCUGGAAACUCAACCCAGGUCUUAAGCUUCAACCCUCUAAGCCAUUUCUCCACCCCACCCCCAUUCUGCAUUUUAGAAAUAAUCCACCAAGUCCAGAGUCAGUGCUGCUGAAGUGCACAUGUAUUAAAGCCAUCUACAUGGCAUGGCCAACUGCCCAGGGCCACACUCCUGAGGAAAACUGACGUCCCCUCCCCAGAUAGCUGUCAGCUGCCACUAGCUCCUCAGUGGAUUAAACAUUUCUCCGUGCUAAUCUUUUAAGAUGUCCUGAUCAUUUGUGAUCACUUUGCAUGAAAGAAAUUCCAGGCUCAUCUUAACUACUUCCUGUCCCGAGCUGACUCAGCCAUUGCAGAAAGCUUUGUUUCCUUUCAAUAUUGAUAGUUUUUCAGAUAUAUGAGCAUCAGGUAUAUUUAUUGCUAAUAGACUGAUGUUGUCGUAAAGCUUUUUUGUAGACAGAGCCAGGAACUCUGUAAUAUUUGUGAUAGUGCUUUCCAAUUAAAUCCAGAGUUACAGAUUUUCAUCUAACCUCUUUUUUUCCCCUGAGAUUUAUUUGUGUGUGUGUGUGUGUGUGUGUGUGUGUGUGUGUGUGUGUGUGUCUGUGUCGACCUGUAUGUAUCUCUGUGUAUCUGUGUCUGUCUGUGUUAGUGUCUACUGCAUGUGUGUAGGUGCCGGCUGAGGUCAGAAGAGGGCGCCGGAUCCUUUGAAGCAGGAGUUACAGGCUGUUGUGAGCCAUCAGACAUGGGUGUUGAGAACUGAACUACGUCCGCAGGAAGAACAGCAAGCACUGCUAAGCUCUGAGCCAUCUCCCUAGCCCCGCCUCCCCUGUUCUUUCUGUUAUUCAUAGCUCCUUUUGCCCAGCUCAUUACUACUUUGUGCAAGCACAGAAUAGUGAAAUAGUUAUUAGGUAGAACUGUUCACAUGUUUAGUCACCCCAUAUAUACACCCUGAUUCACAUUGAAUUUGGUGUGUUCUGUAUACCUAGUGACUGUCCUAUAGUCUUAAUGAGAACCAAGUUCUAUUUCCUGGUUGAAACAGCUUGGUAAGCAGUGGCUCUGUAGUCAGAAGUGCUAUCAUAGUGAGUUUGUCAUUAUCAGUUUAUAUUCAGGCUCCUCAAAUCUUUCAUUAUCUACUUACACAUGAAGUAAUGUGUAUUUGUCUUUGUUUUGCUUUCUAGGAUUUGCCAGAAACUAUUUCUUACAAAAAAAUUUUUACAGUUGGUCAUCAAGUACCUGAUAAUGACACUAUCUGUCAGUUCAAAUGUGCAGUUAAAGAGUUUUUAAAGAAAAAUAAAAACAAUGACAAACUUAUUGGUGUCCACUGCACCCAUGGCUUAAAUAGGACUGGCUACCUCAUUUGCAGAUAUUUGAUUGAUGUAGAAGGCAUGAGGCCAGAUGAUGCAAUUGAAUUAUUCAACAGGUGCCGGGGGCAUUGCAUAGAAAGGCAGAACUACAUUGAAAACCUGCAGAAACGUCGUGUCAAAAAGAACCAGAAUGUUAGUGCAUCUAGGUCAGGUGAUCUUGAAGACUCAGCACCUCAUACGGAGCAAGUCCACACCACUGACAAACCUGUGAACAAAAAACCUAAGAAGAAGCGGCGUGGUGGUCAUCUGGCAUCUUCCCAGAAUGUUUAUACCCAGACCCAGAGCUCACUGUACUCAUUCAGAAAAUGGUCACAAAAUCAGAGUGUUUACCAGAGAGGCCUUGUCCCUCCUGGUCCAGCUGGAGAGUACUAUUCACAAAGAAGAUUCUUCUGGAACAUGAGGCCAAAUGGCAGUCAAGCGACCCACAAUAAGAAGUGGACUGCUGAUAGUUACCAGAGACCUUUCUACCCAGCCUACUGGGAAUGGAACCUGUGAGGCACACUGUGGCUGGUCUGUCAUAGGGGCCACCUGAGAUCAGAGCUGGACAGAAGACAGCUGGGUGAUUUAAUAAAAUCAGGUCAAAAAGAAUUUUAAAAAUUUUUUGAACAUUUUUAACUUUUUAAACUGUUUUACUAUUCCUUCAUGUGUGUUGAAGGUGAAUUUCCUUGCUUUUUACCUCCCUGCUGGUGGCUCUGGCAGUCUAGAACACCUCAAUUCCAGGCCUCAACUUUCCUCAGAACAUUCUGAAUAGAUAAACUGUUACAAACUUGCAAA